GGCGAACGGGCGAGCCCAUUCUGCCAGGUUAAAAACGACUUUCUUUUUAUAAGGGCUAAAAACAACUGCCCUUGGGAGUAACGCGUAAGAACCUGCCCUUAGGAGGGGAACAACAACCGGAAACAAUUGCUAAUACCCCGUAGGCUGAGGAGCAAAAGGAGAAAUCCGCCCGAGGAGGGGCUCGCGUCUGAUUAGCUAGUUGGUGAGGCAAUAGUUUACCAAGGCGAUGAUAAGUAGCUGGUCCGAGAGGAUGAUCAGCCACACUGGGACUGAGACACAGCCCAGACUCCUACAGGAGGCAGGGAAUUUUCCGCAAUGGGCGAAAGCCUGACGGAGCAAUGCCGCGUGGAGGUGGAAGGCCCACGGGUCGUCAACUUCUUUUCUCGGAGAAGAAACAAUGAUGUUAUCUGAGGAAUAAGCAUCGGCUAACUCUGUGCCAGCAGCCGCGGUAAGACAGAGGAUGCAAGCGUUAUC
rnacentral:ncRNA from 1 species